AACCAUAGAAACCUGCGGAGUACCUGCGGAGGGAUCAUUAUAGUAUAUGAAUCUCCAUUCUAUAAACCCACUCUGCGUAUCUUGUAACUGUUGCUUCCAUGGGACUUGGUUCCGCCACACCGGCUUCACGGCUGGUGAGCGCCCAUGGAAGGAGAAACAAAACUCUUCUUUGAAAUGUAGUCAGUCUGAACAAGUUUUUAUAAACGUUAAAACUUUCAACAACGGAUCUCAGAUCGGAAG
rnacentral:misc_RNA from 1 species